rnacentral:rRNA from 1 species
UACGUAGGUGGCAAGCGUUGUCCGGAUUUACUGGGCGUAAAGAGCGCGCAGGCGGUCGGAUAAGUCGAAUGUGAAAGCCCCUGGCUCAACCAGGGAGGGUCAUUUGAUACUGUUCGACUCGAAGGCAGGAGAGGGAAGUGGAAUUCCGGGUGUAGUGGUGAAAUGCGUAGAUAUCCGGAGGAACACCAGUGGCGAAGGCGACUUUCUGGCCUGUUCUUGACGCUGAGGCGCGAAAGCUAGGGGAGCAAACGGG